AUUGAACGCUGGCGGCAGGCCUAACACAUGCAAGUCGAGCGGAUGAAGGGAGCUUGCGCCUGGAUUCAGCGGCGGACGGGUGAGUAAUGCCUAGGAAUCUGCCGGGCAGGGGGGGAUAACGUCCGGAAACGGGCGCUAAUACCGCAUGCGUCCUGAGGGAGAAAGAGGGGGGUCUUCGGACCUCACGCGAUCAGAUGAGCGUAGGUCGGGUUAGCUAGUUGGUGGGGUAAAGGCCUACCAAGGCGACGAUCCGUAACUGGACUGAGAGGAGGAUCAGUCACACGGGAACUGAGACACGGUCCAUACUCCUACGGGAGGCAGCAGUGGGGAAUAUUGGACAAUGGUCGAAAGCCUGAUCCAGCCAUGCCGCGUGUGUUAAGAAGGUCUUCGGAUUGUAAAGCACUUUAAGUUGGGAGGAAGGGCAGUAAGUUAAUACCUUGCUGUGUUGACGUUACCAACAGAAUAAGCACCGGCUAACUUCGUG
rnacentral:rRNA from 1 species